rnacentral:rRNA from 1 species
GACGAACGCUGGCGGCGUGCUUAACACAUGCAAGUCGAACGAAGUGGCGAACGGGUGAGUAACGCGUAAUCAACCUGCCCUUCAGAGGGGGACAACAGUUGGAAACGACUGCUAAUACCGCAUACUGAAGGAGGGGAUUGCGUCUGAUUAGCUAGUUGGAGGGGUACCGGCCCACCAAGGCGAUGAUCAGUAGCCGGUGUGAGAGGAUGAAGGGCCACAUGGGGACUGGGACACGGCCCAGACUCCGACGGGAGGCAGCGGGGGGGAAUCUUCCGCAAUGGACGAAAGUCUGACGGGGCAAUGACGCAGGAGUGAUGACGGCCUGCGGGUUGUAAAGCUCUGUUAAUCGGGACGCGGUACCGGAAUAGAAAGCCACGGCUAACUACGUGCCAGCCGCCGCGGUAAUAC